AAGAACUAAAUUUUUAGAUAACUGUUUCUACCAAGAAACAGUGCUGAAGAGUUCUUCCAGAACAUUAUUUUUAAAUCCAUGAAUAUUGUAGCCUUUACAGGAGAGAAAGUAAAGUUUUCACACACACGCACAUAUGCUAACACAUACAUGUACGGGUACUCUUCUACAUGCAUGCAUAAGAAGAAAUGUCUAGCCAGCCCAUUGAAUGUCCAUCCUGGCAAGACACAGCCUCAGAUCAGAGUCCUGUGUUUUCAUUCUCAUAGCUGAGAACUGUAAACCUCUUCUGAACUGAAAGAAGAGCAAGAAUGGAGUUCAAAUGGAGAUUCUCAAGUUGCAAAGGCUCUCUGGUUCAUUGAGGUCCUUGUAUGUUACUCCAUCAACAAAAACAGUUAAAUUCUGGUCAUGGGGGACAACCAGAUCUGUGCCAUUUCAUCUUACUUUCCCACAUCAAAGGUCCUAGCACCGAGUGAGGCACUCCAAGUGCUAAGAACGUUGUCUGUUGUGAGAAGAAAUAUGAGGAGCUUGUCCUACAUGUAUUGAGAGACUGGGUUAAAAGGCCGCUGCUUUCAAGCCUGAGCUCCUAAAACAGAGAAGUGCUUAAGUCAGCUUUUAGAUAUGUUAAGUGGGAUUUUCCGAAAUGCUGCAUUUUAAAGAUGGGUGUAGACUACAUUUGUUUAAGUAAAAUAUGCAAGGCCUAUAGAAAAGAAAUGGUGGAAGGGUGGUCUAGACAUAGCAAAACGUUACUUACAAUGCGGUAAGCUAUGUCAUGCAUUUCUUUCAUCUUACUGUAAAUGUGAUGCAAUUUACCUUUCUGCUAUUUUGAUUGAUCUCACAUUCACACUGUAGCUUGUAGCAUGAAGCCAGUUUCAAAACUUUCAUAGGUUCUGUCUUUGUUAAAAUAUUUUCCUGCUCUAA